rnacentral:lncRNA from 1 species
AGACAGGGUCCUGUUCUGUCUCCCAGGCUGGAGUUCAGUGGUAUAAUUAUAAUUCACUGGAGCCCACAACUCUGGGCUCAAGCAAUCUUCCUGCCUCAACCUCCCAAGCAGCUGGGACUACAGGUACACACCACCUCACCUGGCUAAUUUUUAUAUUUUUUGUAGAGAAUGGGUCUCGCUUUGUUGCUCAGGCUAGUCUCGAACUCUCGGUUUCAAGUGAUCUUUCUACCUGGGGCUCCCAAUGUGUGAAGAUUCAGGCCUGAGCCAUCACAUACCCAGCUGACAUUGUUGUAACCAAAUAUCCUGACCUACUUUCUGCUAAAAGUCACCCUACUUUCCUAUUUACAUAGAAAUAUUAUCAUAAACUCCUUUGAAUGAGCAACUGCCUAUUUUAGGAAAUCAGUGACUGUACUUAUAUGGGUCACGGCUUCCUUCCUCAGCAAAUAUUCCCAGGUCGAUCUUCAGUUCAGGCAGAGGACGCUGGGCAGUAUUCAGAGCUGUUUCCUUUACUGCCUGAGCUGUUUGGUCAUGUCUGAACUGCUGCUGAUGAAGCCUUUUCUGGCAGGUUGCCCGGGGAGCAGCUCUCCUGUAGAUUCCGCCUCUCUCCAGGAGUCGCCUGCCUUCAGUAUAAUGGGCAACAUUGAAAGCAGCAAGGCGUUCGGUCGACAAGGAAUGGGUAUGAGAUCCAAUUCCAUAUAAUGUAAGAUGGUGACAGAUAUGUGGGAAGUUUCUGAAACUAUGAGGAUCCAGUUGCUCCCUCCUACCAAAUGUGAACAAGAAAGCACCGCAACUCUGACUGGUACUGUGGCCAUCCUGUGAUUAACGUGGAAUGGACUUCAGCACUGAGCUUUCAUUCUGAAGGCAGAGUGAAAAGACUAAUAGAACUUAGACCUAGGUCGAUGUAUUGAACCAUGGCAUGCAACAAUGCUGAAGCCCUCACUAUAUCUAGACUUUCUGAUAGAUGAGCCA